UGGGGAAUUUUGGACAAUGGGCGAAAGCCUGAUCCAGCAAUGCCGCGUGUGUGAAGAAGGCCUUCGGGUUUUAAAGCACCUUUGUCCGGAAAGAAAUGGCUCUGGUUAAUACCUGGGGUCGAUGACGGUACCGGAAGAAUAAGGACCGGCUAACUACGUGCCAGCAGCCGCGGUAAUAAGUCGGGUCUAAGCGUUAAUCGGAAUUACUGGGCGUAAAGCGUGCGCAGGCGGUUGUGCAAGACCGAUGUGAAAUCCCCGAGCUUAACUUGGGAAUUGCAUUGGUGACUGCACGGCUAGAGUGUGUCAGAGGGGGGUAGAAUUCAACGUGUAGCAGUGAAAUGCGUAGAGAUGUGGAGGAAUACCGAUGGCGAAGGCAGCCCCCUGGGAUAACACUGACGCUCAUGCACGAAAGCGUGGGGAGCAAACAGG
rnacentral:rRNA from 1 species